AGCACCAAAUGGACAGACUCCCCACGUUACCACUGAGCUAUCUCCAUCAGAUGCCAAGUUGCUGUUAUAAACGAUAUGCUGCUCCAUCUUCCAGUUCUCUUUGAUGCUCCAAACUGUGCCCCAUAUUUUUUAUAGUAUCUUUACCAGCCAGCUGACAGAUAGGACCUUUUACAGAUAAAACCCAGGAUUUUUACCACCCUCAUAGACAGCUGGAAAAUGGUGGAUAAUUCUACUUGGUGCGUGGAUUCCUGAAACUCAAUACAGCUACGUUGGAUGGCCCCUGAGACAGUGCUUAUAGAGAUGCUCAAAUCUCAUCGGCCUCUGGAAGGAACCCUCCUAGUCCUCUCCAGAACAGAGUGGGCAGCUACGGGAAGGCUCGCUCUAGACAUCUGACUCACAUUGGUUCAUAACUAUGUGUCUGCAGACUCCUCUUCCCCUUCUCUCCUGACUCACCCAGAUGUGAAGCAAAGGUCACAGCAGGGUGGGUGCUACAAGAAACAGAACCUUGGGACUGGCAAGAUGGCUCAGCAGGUAAGAGCACUGACUGCUCUUCCGAACGUCCUGAGUU
rnacentral:lncRNA from 1 species